CAUUCAAUGCAACAUCAAACCACCAUAAUCCAAACACAUUUCAUGUGAAUUUUCUGGGCAGAGUCUAAGGUUUCAAAACUGCAGUAAUCAUCUUCAUCAUUCAAACAUGAGAAAAAAAUCAAAUCGCCCAGAAUUCGAAAUUGACCAUGCCAAUAGAGUCAGCAAACAUCAUACAACAAGAAUGUAGCAUCAAAUUUCACUAAAUCACUUCAAGCAAGGCAAAUCGAGCAAAAAC
rnacentral:lncRNA from 1 species